rnacentral:lncRNA from 1 species
GAGAGACUGAUAAGGAUUGGAUUUUCAACUGUCAUUGUCUCUCUGAAUCUGACCUUGGGUCCUGGAGGCUGACAUUUUCCCUGGCUCUUCUUGUGUUUCCUGUGAAAACUUGGGAAUACCAGGUUGGCAAUUGGGAAAGAGAGUUUGGCAGUGGCUGGAGUGAGAAGACUGAUAGAAAGAAGAACAAAGACCUUUUUCUCUGAUCUCUGUGGGAUGGCAGAGUGAAGGCAAGGCUCUGGGUCUAUCCAGGCUGGGAAACCACCCCUGCCUCAACUAGACUCAACCUUGACUAGUCUAGCAGUGCAGUAGAGACUGGAAGAACAUUUGGAGACAGUAUUUUUGAGAAUUAUAUAUUUUUGUAAGGACAUUAGAAAUAGGUUUAUAUAGAUAGAAAUUUGGUUUAGUUAGAGUUAAGGAGAGAGAGAGCAUGUCUGGGAUUUUCAGAUGGAAGUGAUUCUCGUGAGAAGCCUUGAGUUGGGUGUGGUUGGAGGUAGUACCCCUUAUUAGACUUAGGGAACCCCUAUUCUUGAUUCCUGUUACAACUAUCCUUAUAUUCCUUCAACCUUUAAGAUAGUAAACAGAGGUUUACUUUGUACAUCUGUCUCCUAGACGUUUUACUGCCAGCCAAUUUUACUAGGUCCAAAACCUAUCAAUCGCUCACCUCAGUUUAUAAGGCCAGCUGCCCCCCAUUUUUUAUCAACAACAAUUUACAAAGGCUAAUAGAUAGUUUCAAAUAAUUCUAUACAGUGUUACAAAAUGUCCAUAACAGUAGUCUCCCCAGCUGCCCCCAAAGUCAUUGAGAGGAAGUAUGGUACAAUGGAAAGAGCAAUGGACUACAAGUUGGAAAACCUGGAUUGAUUCGCUGAAUGAAGAUUCCCUGCCCCCUCAUCUUCUGAAUGACUGGGGUGAUUGCGACAGCAGAACAUUGGUGAUUCAUUUCAACUAGCCUUUUCCAUUAGAGGAGAGAAGACUUAUCCAGCUUGCAGUCACCACUGACUAAUGCCAGAGGAUGCAGAGGUGAGUCACUAUCAGUGUUGGUGCCAUGAUGCUGAUGCUAGC